rnacentral:pre_miRNA from 13 species
UAGGGUGAUCAGCCAUCAGGGUUUGCCUGGAACUGUCCUAUGUCCUAGGACACUGGACAGUUCCAGACAAGCCAGGAAGGCUGAUCAUUGAUACCUC